UCUCUGGUGGCUCAGACAGUAAAGCGUCUGCCUACAAUGCAGGAGACCCAGGUUUGAUUCCUGGGUCGGGAA
rnacentral:tRNA from 1 species